GAUGAAGACGUAGCGAAAUGCGAUAAGUAAUGUGAAUUGCAGAAUUCAGUGAAUCAUCGAAUCUUUGAACGCACAUUGCGCCCCUUGGUAUUCCGAGGGGCAUGCCUGUUCGAGCGUCAUUAUAACCCCUCAAGCUCAGCUUGGUGUUGGGGCCUGCUGCACUGGCAGCCCUUAAAAUCAGUGGCGGCGCCAUCUGGCUCUAAGCGUAGUAAUUCUUCUCGCUAUGGAGUCCUGGUGGAUGCUUGCCAUCAACCCCCAAUUUUUCUAUGGUUGACCUCGGAUCAGGUAGGGCUACCCGCUGAACUUAAGCAUAUCAAUAAGCGGAGGA
rnacentral:misc_RNA from 1 species